rnacentral:rRNA from 1 species
AUUGAACGCUGGCGGCAGGCCUAACACAUGCAAGUCGCACGAGUGGCGGACGGGUGAGUAAUGUCUGGGAAACUGCCUGAUGGAGGGGGAUAACUACUGGAAACGGUAGCUAAUACCGCAUACCAUCGGAUGUGCCCAGAUGGGAUUAGCUAGUGGGUGGGGUAAAGGCUCACCUAGGCGACGAUCCCUAGCUGGUCUGAGAGGAUGACCAGCCAAAUGGGAACUGAGACACGGUCCAGACUCCUAGGGGAGGAAGCAGGGGGGAAUAUGGCACAAUGGGCGAAAGCCUGAUGCAGCCAUGCCGCGUGUAUGAAGAAGGCCUUCGGGUUGUAAAGUACUUUCAGCGGGGAGGCGUUACCCGCAGAAGAAGCACCGGCUAACUCCGUGCCAGCAGCCGCGGUAAUA